CGAGCUGGAAAAAUCCUCUCCCGCUGAGUCGGCUGAGAUAUUCUCUCAGCCCUCUUUUCUGUAAACCCUAGAUGACAUCAUUUCUCUUCUCCAUGAUCUUAACCCUGGAUUUUUAAAACCUUCAAACAGUUGGGGGAAGACGAUGGAGAGUGUUUUGACAGCGACGGAGAAGCAGAGCAUGGUCUCGUCCUUCCUUGAAAUUGCUGUGGGGCAAUCAGCAGAUACGGCGAGACAGUUCUUGCAGGCAACAAGCUGGAAGCUUGAAGAAGCUAUUCAGUUGUUCUAUGUUGGAAAUGAAGGUGGAGGACCCUCGUCUUCCCACUCUCCACCAGGAGAAGAUGUUCAGCCAUUGCCUGAAGAAAGUUCAAGUGGACAGGCAAAGGACAUUGUAAAUGAAAAUGUUGGGCAAGAUGAUGCAAGUGAAGUACGCCCUCCUUUACCAGUGAAAAGAGAGGCUCUUUAUGAUGAUGCUAUGCUGUAUAGAUCUUCAAGGAUGGGAUAUCCAUCACAUGAAACAAGUUCCAUGAUUGCAUUUCGUAAUUUUGAUGAGGAGAUGAAACAGCCUGGCGUUUGGGAAUCAGACCAAAGUGCUGCAUCUACAACAGAUAGUCCUCGAGAUAAUCUUGCUUCUUUGUAUCGUCCACCUUUUGCCUUGAUGCACCAUGGUUUCUUUGAGAAGGCAAAGGUUGCAGCUGCUGCCCAGGAUAAGUGGCUUCUAGUAAACAUUCAAUCUACCAAGGAGUUCAGUUCACAUAUGCUGAACCGAGAUACUUGGGCAAAUGAGGCUGUAGCUCAGACAAUUAGCACUAAUUUCAUUUUCUGGCAGGUAUAUGAUGAUACAAGUGAAGGGAGGAAAGUCUGCACCUACUACAACUUAAAUUCUAUUCCUGCAGUUCUUGUGAUUGACCCCAUAACUGGGCAAAAAAUGCGCUUAUGGAAUGGAAUGGUUCAACCUGAGCGUUUAUUAGAGGAUCUGCUACCAUUCAUGGAUAAUGGACCCAAGGAUCAUCAUGUUAGUCUACCUCAUAAACGUCCACGGGAGAGUUCUCAGACUCCCAUUCCAAAGCUACAAGUUGCAGAGGAAACCAACGAAGAGGACGAGGAGGUUCUACUAGCAUUGGCAGCAUCUAUGGAAAACACAAAACCAACUUACACUGAUAAAGAGGAACCCAAAACUGAAGAGGCUGAAAGCAGCUCUGCUAAGAAAACUACAUAUCCACCUCUGCCUGAAGAGCCCAAGGGUGACAGGAACCUCCUUUGCAGGGUUGGUAUCCGCCUUCCUGAUGGACGUAGGCUUCAGCGGAAUUUCCUCCGCAAGGAUCCAAUACAGUUACUUUGGUCCUUCUGCCAUGCUGAACUUGAAGAGUCAGAGGCACGGCCAUUCCGCUUAACUCAAGCUAUACCAGGAGCUUCAAAGUCUCUGGAUUAUGACAGCAAGCUGACCUUUGAGGAGUCGGGAUUGGCAAACUCGAUGAUCUCAGUUACUUGGGAUUGAAAGGGUUGUGUUUUGAUAGUUUUAUGAGAUUUCUACCUCUUCGACCGCCUCACCAUCUGCACGGAAGAAUUUUGAUGACACUCUUUGUUUUUGUCCAAGUGAUGAGUUGGAUUUCGGUGGAAUGAAUAGGAGGUCAACUGACUGGAUCAAAUCAACAAAUUAUUGGGGUCUAUUCACUAAAACUGGGCUCAAGUGCUUGGAUCGUCUUCCUGACACCAAUUCCUUUUUUUUUUUGGCGCAUCUAGUGAUGUAGGGGUGUUAUUGGGUCGGGUUAAGUGGUAAACAUAAGUCAACAUCAAUGAAGUUUUGGGUCGGGUUGGAAUUGAGCCUGUUGACAUUUCAACAUUGAAACGUUUUAUAUGCAUGGCAUUGGUUUGAGUAUAUAUGUUCUAUAUGUGAUGGGUUGGAUUGGGUUUGGUGUUGUAUCUAUGGUUCAAAUUAUCCUUACUUGCUAUAUGCAAAAUUUGUAUAUUGAGAGUUUUUAUUGAGCAAAACUCUAAUCCUUUUCACA